rnacentral:rRNA from 1 species
UACGUAGGGUGCAAGCGUUGUCCGGAAUUAUUGGGCGUAAAGAGCUCGUAGGCGGUCUGUCGCGUCGGCUGUGAAAACCCGAGGCUCAACCUCGGGCCUGCAGUCGAUACGGGCAAACUAGAGUACUGCAGGGGAGGCUGGAAUUCCUGGUGUAGCGGUGAAAUGCGCAGAUAUCAGGAGGAACACCGGUGGCGAAGGCGGGUCUCUGGGCAGUAACUGACGCUGAGGAGCGAAAGCGUGGGGAGCGAACAGG